AAGGCCAUAGACGAAUGGCCAAGUCACCUGGCUUUCACCCAGGAGAUUGAGGGUUCGAAUCCCUCUGGCCUUA
rnacentral:tRNA from 1 species